UCAUUUGGAGCGACGCGGGCAAGAGCACUUCCCCGGCACAACCAGGGGAGACACACGGGCGACCCGGAAGGCGACACUCCAAAGCGGGGGUGAAGGGGACCGAUGGCGGAGGGAGCGGCGGAGGCCCCAGCAGAGAGUGGUGGUGGUGGUGGUGGUGGCAACCCCGGAGCCGGCGAGCCAGAACGAGGGGUGACGCCCAUUAAAUCUCAAUACCUCACCACCAAGGAGCAAUUCCACGAAUUCUUGGAAGCCAAAGGACGGGAGGAGCCCAGCCAGGAAACCAAGGCAGGGGACCCUGAUGACAAUGACCUGGUUGAGCCUGAGGCCAAGCGUAUCCGACUGGAGGAUGGGCAGACAAAGGACGGGCAGACAGAGGAGGCAGCCGAGCAGAGGGAGGAGCCGCAGGUUCAGAAGAGGGCCCGGGGCCAGAACAAGAGCCGGCCUCAUGUGAAGCCCACCCACUAUGACAAGAACAGGCUCUGUCCCUCCCUGAUCCAGGAAUCAGCCUCUAAAUGUUUCUAUGGUGACCGCUGCCGCUUCCUGCAUGAUGUGAGCCUCUACCUGGAGACCAAGCCGGCUGACCUGGGACCCCGCUGUGUGCUCUUUGAGACCUUCGGCAGGUGCCCUUAUGGCGUGACCUGCCGCUUUGCUGGGGCGCAUCUGGGGCCCGAGGGCCAGAAUCUGGUGCAGGAGGGGUUGGUCCAGGCCCCAAACAUCCGCAACGGCCUGGACAAGGCCCUGCAGCAGCAACUGCGAAAGCGCAAGGUCUGCUUCGAGCGUUCGGAGCAGGCCCUGCGCCAACUAAGCAAGGGCCGGCUGCCAGGCCCUACCCCCACCGCUGCUGAGCCUGAGGUCACAGAGGCUGAUGGUGCCCCAGAGCAAGAUGGCUGUGAUGCCCAACAGGCCUCCCAUGGGCCACAACAGGCCCCUCCCAGUGGCCCUUUAAGGACAUGCGGGCCCCUGACAGAUGAGGAUGUAGUCAGGUUGCGGCCCUGUGAGAAGCGGCGGCUGGACAUCAGUGGGAAAUUGUACCUGGCCCCCCUCACCACGUGCGGGAACCUACCCUUUCGGCGGAUCUGUAAGCGCUUUGGGGCUGAUGUGACUUGCGGGGAGAUGGCCGUGUGCACCAACCUGCUGCAGGGCCAGACGUCCGAGUGGGCCCUGCUCAAACGCCACCCCUGUGAGGACGUCUUUGGUGUCCAGCUUGAGGGCGCCUUCCCCGACACCAUGACCAAGUGUGCAGAGCUGCUGAACCGCACCAUCGAGGUGGAUUUCGUGGACAUCAACGUCGGCUGCCCCAUCGAUCUCGUAUACAAGAAGGGCGGGGGCUGUGCCCUCAUGAACCGCUCGGCUAAGUUCCAGCAGAUCGUCCGAGGCAUGAACCAGGUGCUGGACGUGCCCCUGACCGUGAAGAUCCGCACAGGCGUCCAGGAGCGUGUGAAUCUGGCCCACCGGCUGCUGCCUGAGCUGCGGGACUGGGGGGCAGCUCUAGUCACGCCCGUCUCUCCCGGUCUCUCUGGAUCUCUUUCUCUCUGUCUCUGUCUGAUCCUCCACCUUCCCGAACCCUUCCUCCCUCCCUCCCCAUGCGGCUGCCUCUUCUCCAGCUCCAUGGCCGCUCUCGGGAGCAGCGCUACACCAAGCUGGCCGACUGGCAGUACAUCGAGCAGUGCGUGACAGCAGCCAGCCCCAUGCCCCUCUUCGGAAACGGGGACAUCUUGUCUUAUGAGGAUGCCAACCGAGCCAUGAAGACCGGUGUCGCUGGGAUCAUGAUUGCCCGCGGUGCCCUGCUGAAGCCGUGGCUCUUCACGGAGAUCAAGGAGCAGCGACACUGGGACAUCUCGUCCUCUGAGCGCCUGGACAUCCUGAGGGACUUCACACACUACGGCCUCGAGCACUGGGGCUCAGACACGCAGGGUGUGGAGAAGACGCGCCGCUUCCUGCUCGAGUGGCUCUCCUUCCUGUGCAGGUAUGUGCCCGUGGGCCUGCUGGAGCGGCUCCCACAGAGAAUCAAUGAGCGGCCGCCCUACUACAUGGGCCGCGACUACCUGGAGACGCUCAUGGCCAGCCAGAAGGCAGCCGACUGGAUCCGCAUCAGUGAGAUGCUGCUGGGACCCGUGCCACCCACCUUCGUUUUCCUGCCCAAGCACAAGGCUAAUGCCUACAAGUAGCCACGGGGGCGGGAGGGGGCGCCUGACCGCCCAGUGGCUCCCCCCCGACCUUCCUGGCACCUGAGAAGACAAUAAAUUUUAUUCUCGUAAAA